rnacentral:rRNA from 1 species
GCGGACGGGUGCGUAACACGUUGGUGACCUGCCCUGGAGAGGGGGAUAACGCGGCGAAAGCCGUGCUAAAACCCCGGAUGUCGUCCUUGUUAGAGAGGGGUGACUGAAGACGGUCAGUCGGAAACGACUGAGAAUGUGCUCCAGGAGGGGCCUGCGGCCCAUCAGCUAGUUGGUAGGGUAACGGCCUACCAAGGCAAAGACGGGUAGGGGGCGUGAGAGCGCGACCCCCCACACUGGUACUGAAACACGGACCAGAUACCUGCGGGUAGCAGCAGCAAGGAAUAUUGCGCAAUGGACGAAAGUCUGACGCAGCAACGCCGCGUGGAGGACGAAGGUCUUCGGAUUGUAAACUCCUUUUCUGGGGGAAGAACAGGGCAACUUAGGUUGCCCCUUGACGGUACCCCAAGAAUAAGGCCCGGCUAACUACGUGCCAGCAGCCGCGGUAAAACGUAGGGGCCAAGCGUUAUCCGGAAUUACUGGGCGUAAAGCGCGUGCAGGCGGUUCUGAAAGUCGGACGUGAAAGCUCCCGGCCCAACUGGGAGAGGCCGUUCGAAAC